AUCUACAGCCACGCUAGCGUGGCUGUAGAUGGUUCUGUAUUUCUGAGUCAGCUGUAGAUGGUUCUGUAUUUCUGAGUCGGGUCUGGUUAGUACUUGGAUGGGAGACCACCUAGGAAGAUCAGGUGCUGUAGGCG
rnacentral:rRNA from 1 species